rnacentral:rRNA from 1 species
GAUGAACGCUGGCGGCGUGCCUAAUACAUGCAAGUCGAGCGAACAGACGAGGAGCUUGCUCCUCUGACGUUAGCGGCGGACGGGUGAGUAACACGUGGAUAACCUACCUAUAAGACUGGGAUAACUUCGGGAAACCGGAGCUAAUACCGGAUAAUAUAUUGAACCGCAUGGUUCAAUAGUGAAAGACGGUUUUGCUGUCACUUAUAGAUGGAUCCGCGCCGCAUUAGCUAGUUGGUAAGGUAACGGCUUACCAAGGCGACGAUGCGUAGCCGACCUGAGAGGGUGAUCGGCCACACUGGAACUGAGACACGGUCCAGACUCCUACGGGAGGCAGCAGUAGGGAAUCUUGCGCAAAGGGCGAAAGCCUGACGGAGCAACGCCGCGUGAGUGAUGAAGGUCUUCGGAUCGUAAAACUCUGUUAUUAGGGAAGAACAAAUGUGUAAGUAACUAUGCACGUCUUGACGGUACCUAAUCAGAAAGCCACGGCUAACUACGUG